rnacentral:rRNA from 1 species
GACGAACGCUGGCGGCGUGCCUAAUACAUGCAAGUAGAACGCUGAAGGAGGAGCUUGCUUCUCCGGAUGAGUUGCGAACGGGUGAGUAACGCGUAGGUAACCUGCCUGGUAGCGGGGGAUAACUAUUGGAAACGAUAGCUAAUACCGCAUAACAGUAGAUAUCGCAUGAUAUCUGCUUGAAAGGUGCAAUUGCAUCACUACCAGAUGGACCUGCGUUGUAUUAGCUAGUUGGUGAGGUAACGGCUCACCAAGGCGACGAUACAUAGCCGACCUGAGAGGGUGAUCGGCCACACUGGGACUGAGACACGGCCCAGACUCCUACGGGAGGCGGCAGUAGGGAAUCUUCGGCAAUAGACGGAAGUCUGACCGAGCAACGCCGCGUGAGUGAAGAAGGUUUUCGGAUCGUAAAGCUCUGUUGUAAGAGAAGAACGAGUGUGAGAGUGGAAAGUUCACACUGUGACGGUAUCUUACCAGAAAGGGACGGCUAACUACGUG